GACGAACGCUGGCGGCGUGCCUCAGACAUGCAAGUCGUACGGGGCAGCGCAAGCUGCUGAGUGGCGGACGGGUGAGUAACACGUGGGCAAUCUACCCACGCGCCCGGGAUAACACCGCGAAAGUGGUGCUAAUACCGGAUGAACCGAGUGUAGCGCAUGCUAUGCUGGGCAAAGGUGGCCUCUUCACAAUGCUACCGUGCGAGGAUGAGCCCGCGGCCCAUUAGCUAGUUGGUGAGGUAACGGCUCACCAAGGCGACUAUGGGUAGCCGGCCUGAGAGGGUGGCCGGCCACACUGGGACUGAGACAAGGCCCAGACUCCUACGGGAGGCAGCAGUCGGGAAUCUUGCACAAUGAGCGAAAGCUUGAUGCAGCGACGCCGCGUGAGCGAUGAAGGCCUUCGGGUUGUAAAGCUCUGUCUUCAGGGACGAAAGUUUCACUGCGAACAGUGGUGGAAGUUGACGGUACUUGAGGAGGAAGCCCCGGCUAACUACGUGCCAGCAGCCGCGGUAACACGUAGGGGGCGAGCGUUGUCCGGAAUUACUGGGCGUAAAGGGCGCGUAGGCGGCCUGUUAAGUCGAGUGUGAAAUCGCACAGCUCAACUGUGCAACUGCGCUUGAAACUGGCGGGCUUGA
rnacentral:rRNA from 1 species